rnacentral:lncRNA from 1 species
CAUUUAUGAGGUGGGGAGGGGAGCCUGGAGCACUGAGCACAGCCCGCUGAGUUCUGUACGCCUUGUUAUUUACACUGAACGUGUGACCUUGGGCACAACUUCUCUUUACCUUGGCUUCCCCAUUCUGUGCAAGCAGGAUCUAAUCUCUCCUGCCUCCCCGAGUUGGUUAGGGACCCAGUGAGCCAGCCGCGUGUAGCAGACACCCUCAGUGCCGCACCCAGACGCCUUGGAGCCCUGUCUCCGGUUCUGUGUGCCCUUCCCCCGGUUUCUGAGUGCUUUGCUUCCCAAGGCUGCUUUGGAGGAGGGGCCCUGGGCUGCUGGAGCUGCUUCUCCCACCUCCUUGCUGCUUUCUUGCGGGAGUGUCUCCAUCGUAAAUCACUUGCACGUGAGCCUUCUCCUGAGCCUACCUCUGGGGAACCCAGCUGAAGACUGUUUACAAAAGCAUUUUGAAACUUUGCAAGUGAAACAUAGACUUGUAGAGUUACUAUUUGAAAUAAUUACAGAACUGACUGUACAAAUCUUACAUCUCUGAAUGACGGGGUUCAGGACAGAACAAGAGGUCAAAAGGAGACCUGAAGCCAGUUGUUCUGUAACUUACUCAGCACAGCCUCAGUGACUACCCUACUCCCAGCUUUGUGCGAGCCACGCCAUCAUCAAAUCGACAGGCAGCUUUCAUCUUCCCGGGCCUCUGGGGGCCGCCACCACUGCUCUGUCGCUAAGCCUGCGCUGUUUUCCACUCAGGGGUCGUCACCUUGUUCCCACUACACUCCCUGUGUGACCUUUCUCAGGGCUCCUGAAGAAGCCAAAGUCCUGAGCCUAGGACAAGGGCCCAGGCUAGAGGAAUUUUUGAGAUCUGUAUAAGGAAGGCCAUGCUUUUGGAAAUUGUCAAGGGGGCAAAUCAUGAAUCCAGAUUUUUGAUCAACAAAACUUAAAUAGAAACAAAGACCAUUCAUUAUCUCAUCAGAUUUAUUUAACAAGGAACACAUGCAUACAUGCUUUAAAAAUAGCUUCUCAAAAUUCAGGCUUGUUUUUAUAUGUCUCCUAUGACUGUUGAGUUUCCAUGUUUCAGUGACAUCCACGUGAGCCUGGGGACAGGAUGGACCCAUCACCAUGUUCAGAUCCUCAGAGUUUUCAUCUUCCUCAUUUAGUGGCUGGAUGGGGCUCAGUGCAAACUCAGACCGGAUCCUCCAAAUGAGGACGCAAGUAUUUUAAUAGUCUGUCAAGAACGUGAAAGCCCCUCCAGGGGAUGUGCUAGACCCCAAGCUGCCAGAAUGGACUCAGCGACUCUGCUUUGGAGACAUAGGGGAGAAACAAGACGACUCUGACAUGAGAACAGUCUUGCAGAAAAACUGGUCUCUAGCAGCAUCUGACCCCCAACUCACACAUCUGCUGCUCUUCUUUCAAAAAAAGGGGGUAAAGUGAAAACAGGUUUUUCUUGUAGGGGAAUAUCCAAGCAGCCAUGACCAUGGGUGGCCAUGGUUUUGCUUGAGCUUCAGACAAGUGGGUGUGAUUGUUGAGGGAAUUCUGCUUUAAGAAAACACUCUUCACAAAGAUGUUAAUUCACAAAAUAAAG